CUGAUUGGAAAAAAAAAGCAUAUAUAGAAUAGGAACAGAAAGCGGAAAAGAAAAAGAAGGUUCUUACUCCCCCAUUCCACCAUUUCAUCGUUGACACAUUUCCCCAUGGCGAUCAUGAGAUUUAAGGGAAAUGAAAACAGCUUCUUAUCAUAAAGAGACUGAGAAUUCCUAUUCUGGAUUCUCAAAACAGCCACGAAAGAUACACUGGACAGAAUUUUCUCUCCCAUUUGCCAGAUAGAGACAGUGAGUCUCAGAAAAGUUAAGAGACUUGUCCACAGUAUCUUAACUAAUGUGGUUUGGGAAUAGGUGCCACUAAGAGGAUGUCUAUUAGAGAGAAGAACCCACAUGUCUUAGAAUAGGGUCAUUUCUGGUCACUGAGAAAUUAUUCCAUUCAAAUCCAGGUUUCCAGGGAAGAAUGAAUGUGUAGCACAUGUGUGGACGGGACAGGCCCACACAAGGAAAUGAGUCCCUCGUGAUGCUUCCCAGAGAUUCUCUCUGGCCUGAACUGGUAAGAAGUUGGUCUGGGUUGAAGGCACUAGACAGAUCAUCAAAUUAAACUCUCCAUAUGUCAACUCAUCAUGGUCAUCAUGGCCUCUUAGUCCAGAAGCACCUCUGGCUGCAGGGAUGACCUCAGUUGGGGACUCACAAGAAGGACCAAGGCACCUUCUGCAAAGUGCUGCCAGCCAGUACCCAGAGGGGUCCCGGCAGAGCUCAGUGGGCUUCAUGCAGCUGGUGCCAGCAUUACCCUCCUUUCCCGAGGGCAAGUCUGUGUAGAGCUCCGUUAGUAGACAGAACCAUUUGCCUUGGCACCUUUGCUCCUUCUAUCUCCAUCCCCUCUGAGAUUUCUUAAAAGAACACAUGGGCCCACUCGACAUCGCUCCACUGAGCUCUCUCUAACCUCCUUGCACUGAGUCGGGAGCUUUGCACAAAGAAGGGAAAUUAAGAUUGCGUGUACACCCCGAUCCUAACUCCGAAGGAAGCAAUCAUCUAGGACCAUCCUGCUGGACCCAACAGUGCGAAACAGCGGGUGAGGGGAGAACCAGGCCCCCUGAAGAAAGUCCUGAAUGAUGGGAGCCUUGGUGAUGGGACGGACCAACAAGUUCCAGAGUAACAACAGAUGGCAGGAGGCAGGAGAUCCAGCUGAAGAGAAGAGGGUCUGACAGCAAGUUGCUGACCCAGCUUCUAGCACAGCUGCCCUCUUCCACAGAAUGGGAAGAAGGAACCUUUUGUGCCUCUCCGUACCAUCAUCCUCAACACUCGGUAGAAAACAAGCAAGACCCUUCUAUCUUGGAGAAGUCUGGCCACUUGUUCCGCAGAGGCUGCUGUGGAAAGGAGCCAUUCCGCGUGCCAGGAUGAUUGGAGGGAUGAAAUCCUACCUGGGAAACGAGAGCAACAUGGGGAGUAGGCUACAGCCCUGUCCCAGCUACAUGGCCUUGGACAUGUCCUUUAGCCUUCUGGGACCUCUCUUUCUCCGUCUAUCAAACAAGGGGGCUCUAAAGACUUUCCCUCUUCAGU